UACGUAGGGGGCAAGCGUUGUCCGGAUUUAUUGGGCGUAAAGAGCGUGUAGGCGGCCAGGUAGGUCCGUUGUGAAAACUGGAGGCUUAACCUCCAGCUGUCGAUGGAAACCAUCUGGCUAGAGUCCGGAAGAGGAGAGUGGAAUUCACGGUGUAGCAGUGAAAUGCGUAGAUAUCGUGAGGAAGACCAGUGGCGAAGGCGGGUCUCUGGACAGUUCCUGACGCUGAGGCACGAAAGCGUGGGGAGCAAACAGG
rnacentral:rRNA from 1 species